GGCUAACUCCGUGCCAGCAGCCGCGGUAAUACGGAGGGAGCUAGCGUUAUUCGGAAUUACUGGGCGUAAAGCGCACGUAGGCGGCUUUGUAAGUUAGAGGUGAAAGCCUGGAGCUCAACUCCAGAAUUGCCUUUAAGACUGCAUCGCUUGAAUCCAGGAGAGGUGAGUGGAAUUCCGAGUGUAGAGGUGAAAUUCGUAGAUAUUCGGAAGAACACCAGUGGCGAAGGCGGCUCACUGGACUGGUAUUGACGCUGAGGUGCGAAAGCGUGGGGAGCAAACAGGAUUAGAUACCC
rnacentral:ncRNA from 2 species